UACAGAGGUGGCAAGCGUUGUUCGGAAUUACUGGGCGUAAAGGGCGCGUAGGCGGCCUUCUAAGUCAGACGUGAAAUCCCCCGGCUUAACUGGGGAACUGCGUCUGAUACUGGAUGGCUUGAGUUUGGGAGAGGGAUGCGGAAUUCCAGGUGUAGCGGUGAAAUGCGUAGAUAUCUGGAGGAACACCGGUGGCGAAGGCGGCAUCCUGGACCAACACUGACACUGAGGAGCGAAAGCCAGGGGAGCAAACGGG
rnacentral:rRNA from 1 species